CCUACGGGAGGCAGCAGUGGGGAAUAUUGCACAGUGGGGGAAACCCUGAUGCAGCGACGCCGCGUGAGUGAAGAAGUAAUUCGUUACGUAAAGCUCUAUCAGCAGGGAAGAAAAUGACGGUACCUGCGUAAGAAGCCCCGGCUAAAAACGUGCCAGCAGCCGCGGCAAUACGUAGGGUGCAAGCGUUAUCCGGAUUUACUGGGUGUAAAGGGAGCGUAGGCGGUAGGCCAAGUCUGGAGUGAAAUGCCGCAGCUUAACCGCGGAACUGUUUUUGAAACUGGCGAACUAGAGUGCAGGAGGGGUAAGCGGAAUUCCUAGUGUAGCGGUGAAAUGCGUAGAUAUUAGGAAGAACACCGGUGGCGAAGGCGGCUUACUGGACUGUAACUGACGUUGAGGCUCGAAAGCGUGGGGAGCAAACAGGAUUAGAUACCCGAGUAGUC
rnacentral:rRNA from 1 species